AUGUCCUCUUCGUCCUCCGUGGGCAACAUCGCUCCCAACGACGGAUCGUCGUCGCCGCCUGCGUCGGCCAUCGUCGCGCAGGCCAUGUCCGGGUCGCACGUCGUCAAGAUAGACGGCUACUCCCGCACCAAGGGGCUUGGCAAUGGCAAAUACAUCAAGUCCGAGACUUUCACCAUCGGAUGCCAUCCCUGGUGUAUGCGCUACUACCCAGACGGCUGUGUGACUGAAGACGCAGAUUGGAUAUCCAUCUAUCUGCACUAUAGUACUGCUCCAACUAAUGCUGGUGAAGUCAAAGCAGAGUUCAAGAUUAGUUUGCUUGACCAUGACAGGCAACCAGUGGCAUUGUACAGCAGAUGCAGCCAAGGUUUUGGUUACCAGUCGAAAUUUCAAGAUUUCCCAUGGUUACCGCGUAUUUCCCACGUUGUGGUGCCACCGUCCAACAUGCACCAUCAUCUUGGACAACUACUCUUGGCCGGUGAGGCGGCCGAUGUUACUUUCGAGGUCGGCGAGGAGACAUUCGCUGCGCACAGGUGCAUACUCGCAGCUCGUUCACCGGUUUUCAAGGCGGAGCUCCUUGGCCCUAUGAAGGAGAAGACCGCAACUCGAGUGCUGAUCGACGACAUGGAAGCCAGGGUGUUCAAGGCGUUGCUCCAUUUCAUCUACACCGACUCGUUGCCCGCCAUGGACGAAGGCGGCGCGGCGGAGAUUGCUCAGCAUUUACUGGUGGCGGCUGACAGGUAUGAUAUGGAGAGGCUGAAGCUGAUCUGCGAGGGGAAGCUGUGCGAUCACAUCUGCAAAAGCACGGUGGCGACCACGCUGGCACUGGCUGAGCAGCACGGUUGCGGUGCUCUGAAGAAGGCAUGCUUCAAGUUCCUGAUGUCUCCGGGAAACCUGAAGGUGGUCAUGGAAUCUGAUGGAUAUGAGCACCUGAGGAGCAGUUGCCCGUCUGUUCUGGACGAACUAGUCGCAAAGCUUGCUCCAUGA
rnacentral:rRNA from 1 species